GACGAACCGUGCGAACGUUAUUCGGAAUCACUGGGCUUAAAGCGCGUGUAGGCGGGCCGGCACGUCGGUCGCUGAAAGCCCCCGGCUCAACCGGGGAAGUGGCGCCGAUACGGCCGACCUGGAGGGACGUAGGGGGACCUGGAACUUCCGGUGGAGCGGUGAAAUGCGUUGAGAUCGGAAGGAACGCCCGUGGCGAAAGCGAGGUCCUGGACGUCUGCUGACGCUGAGGCACGAAAGCGUGGGGAGCAAACAGG
rnacentral:rRNA from 1 species